rnacentral:tRNA from 1 species
GGGGUUGUGGCUCAGCGGUAGAGUGUGCACCUAGCACAUGCAAGGCCCUGGGUUUGAUCCUCAGCAUCACAU